UCUUCUUCUCCUUUUUCUAUCAUUUUUUUUCCUAAUACGUGAUAAAGUGCGUCUGCUGCUCCGCAUCGGGGGCACGGGUCGAUGGCCCAGCCCGAUCGGCCUCUCGCUAUAUUGGCCCGGCGAGGGAGGCAGAAAAAUAUCGCGACGCCGCCAUCCGCGAGGCCUUUUCGCCUGGUCGCGCCGCGCUCUGCCGGGGCUUGAUUCAUGCUGGGCAGUGACUGGGCGUAAGCCGCUCGCCAACCAUAACCCAUCAGCCUCUCCCAUCUGGCGCUGCAAGCAUGGCAGCAGCGCCUUUACCCACAGUGGCCUUUAUCCCUAUCAACCCAACAUUUUCGCUUGCGGUUUCAACCUCCCUGCGACCAAUCGGCGCAGUAAUGUUUUUGUUGGUCGGCAAUGGCCAGUACACACAUCUGCGUGCCCAUCCGACAGAAACACAUUCUUUUUAAUUCAUGCAUUAUCUUGGGUGUUGGCCUGUUUGCCGCACACCCGACGUUGCAGGCCCAAAACCCCGCCGGCAUCGACUAAAGCCGCAGUCAAUCGACUAUUUGUCCAAAACGGAGUAGCCAGUUGGUCAAAUCUGACUAGUCGAUACCCGCAGGCACGCGCGGUGCGUGCCUGCAUGUGGCGAGGCCCGUCCGCAUAGCGUGCGCACCUACGGGUGGGCCAGCGUCCUCGACGCGGCAUAGGCCUUUUGGAUCACAUUCGUGCCCUGGACCACGACAGGGUCGCUCGCCCAGGCAUCGCCCGUGGAGCGCAUUCUGUCGAGCGCGCGCUUGCUCGCGCGACGCUCUGUCAUGGCGGUCAGGCGCGCGCAAUAGGCCGCCAGCGGCUCGUCGGGAACAGAGGGCGCGUCGCCGCUCGGGUCCUUGUAGCCGUCGACGAUCGACUCGGCCGCCUCGCCGUACGGGCGCGCGCCAUAGAGCGAUGGCUUGAGUGGCAUCCGCGCGACGCACUCAUCGGGCGUGUAGCCCGCGCGCAAGAGCAUGUCGGCGGCGCACGCGACGCGCUCGCACAGGGGUGUCGAUGCACGGGCAUCCACGCCACUGCGGCGCAGGAAAUCACCUCCAGAGACCACGGCGCGCAGCACGCUCAGCGGAUUGGCGUCGAGCGGAUGCAACGGGGCCGACCGCGGGAAGGCGACCAGCAGAUCGCCGAGGACGACCACGGGAUCGACGACACGAUCCACCCGCCGUUCCCACAUCGUGGUGGCACAGGGCGGCAGCGACUGGCUGCGGCAGUCGACCGCCGCCACGGCGUCCCAAAACAGACGGUCCAGGGCGACGGCGAGGAGGGCUUCGAUCGACGGCUCGGCGCGCGCGCCGGCGUCCACGAGGGCCUUGACGCAUCGGCGCGAUCCGCACGCCACAGCCCUCGUGAGCGGGCUCUCGCCACUGGCGCACCUGGGCAACGGGAGGCACAAGGGGGAGAGCGCACCGCCCGCAUCGUCCUCUAGGUCAUAGGCGAUCGUGCCGUCGCGGCGCGGGGUGCGCACGAUGAUCGCGGUUGCACCGGCGCGUCCGACGACGCCGCCGAGUCCGAGUGCAAACACGCACGUGACGGGUGUCGCCAAUCGACAGAGGCUGCCGACGGCGAGCAGCGGGCUGUCGCCCAGUGCGACUGCGCGCAGCAUAUCGGGAUUGUCCCUCGACAGGGCAUUGCUCGCGCGCACGAGACGAUCCACGAGGUCGUCCUGGUGGUCGUCACCUGGCAAUCUGACCGGUGCCUGCAUCGCCGCCGUCGUUGCCCCAGAUCGCGACCCGACAGUGUAUUUUUGACAUUCUGCCUCGUGCCUCGUGCCCGACGACGGUCAACACCAAAAAAAGCGACGCCCAA
rnacentral:lncRNA from 1 species